ACCAAUAUUUUUUUAGGUACAAUUAUCUAUAAUUUAUAUCUGUAUCCAUUAAAUCAAUGAUUUUAUAAUUAUUAAUAUAUUUUCUUUUGGCUCCAAAUUGCAUCGAAAGUGUUCACUCUGGGAUGUACAAUCUUUUACAAGAAGAAUUGAUUGUUUCAGCUUUCACGCGACUAAACAAGGCACUGCAGAAGGUUUGCAGCAACAUUACAAAACACAAGGAAUGAAAGGCAUUUUGAGGCCGUGGAAGCGAGACUUCUUUGAGCAUCAUUUUCCACUUUCACAGACAAAAACGGCUGAAGAAUUUGGGAAAGGAAUGGAAUUGUGAUAUGCAGUUAUUAUCAACAAAUUAGUCGUACUGUUGUGUAAUUCUAAUCGAUUCUGUCGCUCUUGAUAACUUAAGAUAUGUAGGAUUUUCAAAGAAGUGGUCUAAUCAGGUGUAGGAUUUUCAAGUUUUACUCAGGCCUGUUCUGGUCCAAGUGUAAAAAUGCAUCAUGUUUUUUUGUUACAGGUCAAUCACCGUCUUCUUUUUGUAAAAUAGAAGUGAUGAUGUUCAGACCUUUCAUGGUAUUUUAAUCAACAGAUGGAUUUAACUUGAUCCUUUUAACAUAA